rnacentral:rRNA from 1 species
UUCGGGCGCUGACGAGUGGCGGACGGGUGAGUAACGCGUAGGAAUCUGCCUUAUAGUGGGGGACAACGCGGGGAAACCCACGCUAAUACCGCAUACGCCCUACGGGGGAAAGGAGGGGAUCUUCGGACCUUUCGCUAUGAGAUGAGCCUGCGUUAGAUUAGCUAGUUGGUAGGGUAAAGGCCUACCAAGGCGACGAUCUAUAGCUGGUCUGAGAGGACGAUCAGCCACACUGGGACUGAGACACGGCCCAGACUCCUACGGGAGGCAGCAGUGGGGAAUAUUGGACAAUGGGCGAAAGCCUGAUCCAGCAAUACCGCGUGUGUGAAGAAGGCCUUAGGGUUGUAAAGCACUUUCAAUUGGGAGGAAAACCUGUCGGUCAAUACCCGGCAGCUUGACAUUACCUUUAGAAGAAGCACCGGCUAACUCCGUGCCAGCAGCCGCGGUAAUACGGAGGGUGCGAGCGUUAAUCGGAAUUACUGGGCGUAAAGCGUGCGUAGGCGGUUCGUUAAGUCAGAUGUGAAAGCCCUGGGCUCAACCUGGGAACUGCAUUUGAAACUGGCGGACUAGAGUUUAGUAGAGGGGAGUGGAAUUUCAGGUGUAGCGGUGAAAUGCGUAGAUAUCUGAAGGAACACCAGUGGCGAAGGCGACUCCCUGGACUAGAACUGACGCUGAGGUACGAAAGCGUGGGUAGCAAACAGGAUUAGAUACCCUGGUAGUCCACGCCGUAAACGAUGUCGACUAGCCGUUGGUCCUAUUUACAGGAUUAGUGGCGCAGCUAACGCAUUAAGUCGACCGCCUGGGGAGUACGGCCGCAAGGUUAAAACUCAAAUGAAUUGACGGGGGCCCGCACAAGCGGUGGAGCAUGUGGUUUAAUUCGAUGCAACGCGAAGAACCUUACCUACCCUUGACAUCCAGAGAUCUGUUAGAGAUAGUAGAGUGCCUUCG